rnacentral:tRNA from 1 species
GCCCGCCUAGCUCAAUCGGAUAGAGCGUCAGACUCUUAUGAGUGCGGGUGAAUCACGACCUGUGAUCUGAAGGCUGCGAGUUCGACCCUCGCGGUGGGCU